GCCCGGGUGGUGGAAUUGGCAGACACGCACGACUCAAAAUCGUGUGCCGAAAGGCAUGGGAGUUCGACUCUCCCCCCGGGCACCA
rnacentral:tRNA from 1 species